UACAGAGGGUGCGAGCGUUGUCCGGAAUCACUGGGCGUAAAGGGCGCGUAGGCGGCGCGGUAAGCGUGCGGUGAAAGCCCGGGGCUCAACCCCGGGUCGGCCGUGCGGACUGCCGGGCUGGAGCACUGUAGAGGCGAGUGGAAUUCCUGGUGUAGCGGUGGAAUGCGCAGAUAUCAGGAGGAACACCAAUAGCGAAGGCAGCUCGCUGGGACGGUACUGACGCUGGAGGCGCGAAAGCGUGGGGAGCGAACAGG
rnacentral:rRNA from 1 species